rnacentral:other from 1 species
UCUUCCCUGCAGUGUUCGUGUUUGGCCAUAUAUUCCUUGGACCCAUGCUAUGGCAUGAGGUUGCGGGAAUCGCCCCUCAGGCGUGAUCGUUUCUCUGUCAAACGAACCCAAUGAGUGGCUGACUGCGACCGACCUUGAACUUAACGGUUCAGGAUGCCGGCCUAGCGGCACAGGCGGGGAUCUA